UUCUAAGUAAUAAGGUAAUCUAUACCAAUAUAUAUAUAUAAAAAGGAAAAUGUUCAGAUCAGGCACAUAUAUGCAAAUCAAUAUAAAUAACUUCAAAUUGUAUCUUUUAAUAAUAUUACCGUAGAAAGGCUUGUAUAUGUAUAGUCCGCGGUUUUAUUUUCCAAAAUUGGACCUUCCAGACGGGGUGCGGACUAUAGAGUACAAUUAGCAAGAAAUAAGAGAAAAAUUUCAAUUUCGCGGGCGAGGUGGUUUGUUUACGUUCCGCCAUCUUUGUUAUUUAUAUUGUAGAGUGCGCUCUUAUCAUUUUUCAAACUAAUAAUUUUAACUCAUCCAUAUUAAUUAGUUAUUUCUAUUCAAUAUCAAAUUAAUACUGAUAAAUAUAAAAACUAAACCUUUCAUUACAAAUUUCUCGUUUCUUUUCAAUGCAUUGGUUGAAAUAAACUGGUAUCUGCUUGAUUGAAACGAUACAAACAUAGUGAAUAAAAUGCUCCGCAGGGCGCAGCUUGAUACGACCGCAGAGGUCGAACCCUGAACAGUUGGGGGAAGUAAGGACACAACAUUCAAGCUUGAUACAGCUUUGGAUUUGGAUUGUGAUUAAAUAUUUGACACAGCAUAGGUUUCUGACACAGAAUGAAUGUGGUCUAAGAACUUAAAAAAAUUUAAUUUACCUAUUCAAACCAUAUCAUUAUUAUUUGCUUAUAUAUAUAAAUCAGAAAUAACCAAUUUAAAAUGGAAAAUUUUAAAGAAAAAAAAGAUAAAAAAAAUCCCCCCCCCCCCAAUUUUUUGAACCCCCUUAUGAUUCAUCACCCCCAAACUCAAUCCCAACCUUCCCUUUGUGGUAUGGUACCUUGCAGUACAAUUUCAGAGAGAUCCAUACACUUGAACACAAGUUAUUGUCUGGAAACUAGAAAAAUGCUUGUUUUUGGCCCCAAAUUUCUAAACAUUUAGGUCAAUUACCCCCAAACUCAAACCCAGCUUUCCCUUUGUGAUAUGGAACCUUGCAGUACAAUUACAUAAAGAUCCAUACACUUACACACAAGUUAUUGUCCUGAAACUUGAAAAAUGCUUGUUUUUUUGCCCCUUUAUGGCCCCUUUUUCCUCAAAUUUUGAGGGAAUUACCACCAAAAUCAAUCCCAGCCUUCCCUUUGUGGUAUGGUACCUUGCAGUACAAUUUCAGAGAGAUCCAUACACUUGAAAACAAGUUAUUGUCUGGAAACUAGAAAAAUGCUUAUUUUAUGCCCCCUUUUCCUAAACGUUUUGGGCAAUUACCCCCAAACUCAAUUUCAGCCUUCCCUUUGUGAUAUCGAACCUUGUAGUACAAUUUCAUAAAGAUCCAUACACUUACACGCAAGUUAUUGUCAUGAAACUAGAAAAAAUGCUUGUUUUUUGCCCCUUUUUUGCCCCUUAUUCCUAAAAUUUGGAGGCAAUUACCCCCAAAAUCAAUCCCAGCAUUCCCUUUGUGAUAUGGAACCUUGUGGUACAAUGUCAGAGAGAUCAAUACACUUACUCACAAGUUAUUGUCAUGAAACUAGAAAAAUGCUUGUUUUUUGGCCCUUAUUCCUAAAAUUUGGAGGCAAUUACCCAAAAAAUCAAUCCCAGCAUUCCCUUUGUGAUAUGGAACCUUGUGGUACAAUGUCAGAGAGAUCCAUACACUAACACACAAGUUACGUCUGGAAGUUACAAAAAUGCUUAUUUUUGGCCCCUUAUUCCUUAACUGUUGAUACCAUAACCCCCAAAAUCAAUCCCCACCUUCCUUUUGUGGUAUUGAACCUUACAGUAAAAUUUCAUAGAGAUCCAUUCACUUAAACUAAAGUUAGAGUGCGAAAACCAUUGUAUCUUCGGACAGCGACGCCAACGUCAUACCAAUAUACGACCGCAAAUUUUUUUUGCAGUCGUAUAAAAACUCGACUCUGCCAGUUGGUCUAGAAUAGUACGACAUAUUCUUCUCUCAAUAAUAUGUUAUCACUGUCAAUAAUUUGCAUGUAAAAUUUCCCAUUGGAACAUUAAGCAUUCCUCCUUACACAAUCAAUUAUUAAGAAAUUCUAAGCAUUCUUGAAAAGAUGUUAUAUUUACAUGAAGUAGUCCUUAAAUACAGAAAUGAACUGCAAGCCAUGCAAAUAAAAUGAAACAUAGAUGUCAACAUUAAGAAAAUUGAACAUUUAAAAAAAACCAAAAUAGAAUCAUUAGUUUAUAGGAAUGUUAGUUCUAUAGUAAGGUAGGACAAUUAUACAAAUAUAUGAGAGAUUUGAAUACAAUACAUGCAAAAUGUUUAUUGAUAAAUCCAGAAUAUGUGCAUUUGGAGAUUGAUUCUUACAUGGAAAACAAACAUUUAUUCUUAUACAGUCUUAUUAUCAAGGCAUACUACUAGAAAAUAAAAUGCUCCGCUGGGCGCAGCUUGAUACCACCACAGAGGUCGAACCCUGAACAGUUGGGGCAAGUAUGGACACAACAUUCAAGAUUGAUACAGCAACUGAAUUUGGAUUGUAAUUAAAUAUUUGACACAGCAUAGGUUUCCGACACAGAAUGAAUGUGGUCUAAGGACUUAAAAUUUUUUAAUUUACCUAUUCAAACCAUAUCAAUAUUAUUUGCUUCUAUAUAUAAAUCAGAAAUAACCAAUUUAAAAUGGAAAAUUUUAAAGAAAAAAAAAAGGGAAAAAAGUCCCCCCCCCCCAUUUUUUGAACCCCCUUAUGAUUCAUCACCCCCAAACUCAAUCCCAGCCUUCCCUUUGUGGUAUGGUACCUUGCAGUACAAUUUCAGAGAGAUCCAUACACUUGAACACAAGUAAUUGUCUGAAAACUAGAAAAAAUGCUUGUUUUUUGGGCCCAAAUUCCUAAAUGUUUAGGGCAAUUACCCCCAAACUCAAACCCAGCUUUCCCUUUGAGAUAUGGAACCUUGUAGUACAAUUUCAUAAAGAUCCAUACACUUACACACAAGUUAUUGUCCUGAAACUUGAAAAAUGCUAGUUUUUUUGCCCCUUUUUGGCCCCUAAUUCCUAAAAUUUGGAGGCAAUUACCCCCAAAAUCAAUCCCAGCCUUCCCUUUGUGGUAUGGUACCUUGCAGUACAAUUUCAGAGAGAUCCAUACACUUGAACACAAGUUAUUGUCUGGAAACUAGAAAAUGCUUAUUUUUGGCCCAUUUUUGG